CAACAAGAAAAAGAGGGGUGGGGUGUGGCUCCCUGGGGUGUUUCACUUAUGAAAUGAGUGGGGUGCAUUGAAUGUCAACGUGACGAGAUUCACCGACGCGCGGGUAAACGGCGGGAGUAACUAUGACACUCUUAAGGUAGCCAAAUGCCUCCUCUUCCAAUUAGAGACGCGCAUGAAUGGAUUAAUGA
rnacentral:ncRNA from 1 species